AAUUAGUGACGCGCAUGAAUGG
rnacentral:ncRNA from 3 species